rnacentral:lncRNA from 1 species
CGAAAUCUGAAUGCAUGUGACUGAAAUUGGCUCUCUGUGAUUAUUUAUACAAACCCAUUAGCAGGAUGUUGUGCAAUAUGGUGCUUGUCAUCUGUUUCAAAGACACAGUGAUGAGAUACAGAGAUUGGUACGUCAGCAAGAAAAGUUUUCUUCCUGGGGAGAAAUACAAGCAAACAUGAAGACAAGAGGACUCAGCGUGAUCCAUGUAAUGCUCUCCUUUCCCUGACGUGUACUCAAGAAUCAGCUAUCUCACAGGUAAUAAAUAUUUUCUUCCUAGUUAUGACA